rnacentral:rRNA from 1 species
UACAGAGGUGGCGAGCGUUGUCCGGAAUUAUUGGGCGUAAAGAGCUCGUAGGCGGUCUGUCGCGUCGGAUGUGAAAACCCAGGGCUCAACCCUGGGCCUGCAUUCGAUACGGGCAGACUAGAGUUCGGUAGGGGAGACUGGAAUUCCUGGUGUAGCGGUGAAAUGCGCAGAUAUCAGGAGGAACACCGAUGGCGAAGGCAGGUCUCUGGGCCGAUACUGACGCUGAGGAGCGAAAGCGUGGGGAGCGAACAGG